ensembl:miRNA
GGCUGGAAAGGAAGAAGCAUUCUUUCAUUGGUUGGUGUGCAUUGCCUUGUCAACCAAUAAGAAGAUGCCAUUUAUCCUUUUCUGACUAGCU